UUGGCUCUACAACCGCACUAAUAAGGUUUAAGUAAGCUUAGAGUAAGCACCUUAAAGGGCGAGUCUUAGAAUAUUA
rfam:Clostridium sp. CAG:433 genomic scaffold, scf55